rnacentral:rRNA from 1 species
GAUGAACGCUGGCGGUAUGCUUAACACAUGCAAGUCGAACGGUACCUUCGGGUAUAGUGGCGGACGGGUGAGUAACGCGUGAGAAUCUGUCUUCAGGUCGGGGACAACAGUUAGAAAUGGCUGCUAAUACCGGAUGUGCCGUAAGGUGAAAGAUUUAUUGCCUGAAAAAGAGCUCGCGUCAGAUUAGCUAGUAGGUGGUGUAAGAGACUACCUAGGCGACGAUCUGUAGCUGGUCUGAGAGGACGAUCAGCCACACUGGAACUGAGACACGGUCCAGACUCCUACGGGAGGCAGCGGUGGGGAAUUUUCCGCAAUGGGCGAAAGCCUGACGGAGCAAUACCGCGUGAGGGACGAAGGCUUUUUGGGUCGUAAACCUCUUUUAUUAGGGAAGAUUUCAGGACGGUACCUAAUGAAUAAGCAUCGGCUAACUCUGUGCCAGCAGCCGCGGUAAU